rnacentral:rRNA from 1 species
UUGCCUUGGCGAGGGGGAUAACCACUGGAAACGGUGGCUAAUACCGCAUAAUGUCUUCGGACCAAAGGGGGCUUAUGCUCCCGCGCUUAGAGAGGCCCAAGUGAGAUUAGCUAGUUGGUAAGGUAAAGGCUUACCAAGGCAACGAUCUCUAGCUGUUCUGAGAGGAAGAUCAGCCACACUGGGACUGAAACACGGCCCAAACUCCUACGGGAGGCAGCAGUGGGGAAUAUUGGACAAUGGGGGCAACCCUGAUCCAGCCAUGCCGCGUGUGUGAAGAAGGCCUUCGGGGGUUGUAAAAGCACUUUUCAGUGGGGAGGCUAAAGGCUAAGUUAGUUCAAUACCUUGCUUUAGAUUGAACGUUACCCCACAGAAGAACGCACCGGCUAGAACUCCGUGCCCAGCAGCCGCCGGUAAUACGGAGGGUUGCAAGCGUUAAUCGGAAUUCACUGGGCGUAAAGCGCACGCAGGCGGUUUGUUAAGCUAGAUGUGAAAGCCCCGGGCUCAACCUGGGACGGUCAUUUAGAACUGGCAGACUAGAGUCUUGGAGAGGGGAGUGGAAUUCCAGGUGUAGCGGUGAAAUGCGUAGAUAUCUGGAGGAACAUCAGUGGCGAAGGCGACUCCCUGGCCAAAGACUGACGCUCAUGUGCGAAAGUGUGGGUAGCGAACAGGAUUAGAUACCCUGGUAGUCCACACCGUAAACGCUGUCUACUAGCUGUUUGCGACUUUAAGUUGUGAGUAGCGAAACUAACGCGCUAAGUAGACCGCCUGGGGAGUACGGCCGCAAGGUUAAAACUCAAAUGAAUUGACGGGGGCCCGCACAAGCGGUGGAGCAUGUGGUUUAAUUCGAUGCAACCCGAAAAACCUUACCUACACUUGACAUGCAAAAAACUUUCCAAAAAUGGAUUGGUGCCUUCGGGAACUCUGAACCAGGUGCUGCAUGGCUGUCGUCAGCUCCGGUCCGGAAAAGUUGGGUUAAGUCCCCCAACGAGGGCAACCCUUGUCCUUAGUUGCCAGCAUUAAGUUGGGCACUCUAAGGAAACUGCCGGGGACAAACCGGAAGAAGGGGGGGACAAAUUCAAGUCAUCAUGGCCCUUACGGUUAGGGCUACCCCCGGGCUUCAAUGGGUUUUUCCAAGGGGAACCGAGAACCCCAUUGGGACCGGACCCCUUAAAAAAAUUCGAAUUCCGGAACGGAAAUUGCAACUCACUCCUUGAAAUCCGAAUCG